UACUCGCUGUCCAAGUCGCAGCCAUUUUUAUUGGGUCUAAAACAUCCGUAGCUUGCAUCUUAAGUUCCCUGUGAAAUUUUAUAUCUCAAAUAUGAAGCCUGC
rnacentral:rRNA from 1 species